AUUGAACGCUGGCGGCAGGCCUAACACAUGCAAGUCGAACGAGUGGCGGACGGGUGAGUAAUGUCUGGGAAACUGCCUGCUGGAGGGGGAUAACUACUGGAAACGGUAGCUAAUACCGCAUACCAUCAGAUGUGGCCAGAUGGGAUUAGCUUGUUGGUGGGGUAACGGCGCACCAAGGCGACGAUCCCUAGCUGGGCGGAGGGGAUGACCAGGCACACGGGAACUGUGAGACGGUCCAGACGCCUACGGGAGGAAGCAGUGGGGAAUAUUGCACAAUGGGCGCAAGCCUGAUGCAGCCAUGCCGCGUGUAUGAAGGAGGCCUUAGGGUUGUAAAGUACUUUCAGCGGGGAGGCGUUACCCGCAGAAGAAGCACCGGCUAACUCCAUGCCAGCAGCCGCGGUAAUUC
rnacentral:rRNA from 1 species